UGAGCACGCAUAACACUCACAUACACACACUCUCAUAUGCACUCACAAACUCAUUCAGGGGCAGUCACUCAUCCUGCCGAGAACAAGCUGAAGGAAAGUGUAAUGAGUCUUCAAGAAAAGAAAGCUCAUGUGCUCAGAAGAUUACGGUUGGAUCAACUAAUUUCUGAAGACUUAGUAGAUCGCAGCACUUUAAAACAACUCAACCUCCAGAGGCAGCAGUGAAAAUAUCCAAAGACAUGGUAAGUUUUCAAUAGUUGAUAAGUAUUAAUCUAUAACAUCAAUUUCAGUUUAUAGGUGUUACAGUCUGUAGGAUAUACGGGGGACAAAGGAACAAGGUAAGCAACACUGACCUGGAACAUUCUACAGGACUGCUGACCUGCUCUCUUCCACAAAUCAGUGGCCUGAGAAGAA
rnacentral:lncRNA from 10 species